AAUGACCCAUCUCGGACAAAUUACCGCUCGAGUGGCAUUGUGUGCAAGUCCCCGAGCGAUGCGUCUCGUCUCUCCUCUACUCUCCACCACUCGUCGAUCCAUUGACGCGCAUUGUGUCCGAUUUUAAGACCGGUACACGUCCGACUGUACACGUUCCCACGUGUCGUGAAAUCGUGGACACCGGGUCUAAUGUCUCGCCGGCGACUCCACGGUGCACGAGUAAUUGAUAAUGAACACGCGGCGCGAUCAUUUAGCGCGACGUUACGGUGCGCGAUAGUUUUUGCCGGGAAUACGGGUGAAUAAACUUCGGACGCGUUACGUGCGCGUUCAAGUAAACUUUUCUCGUGUGUGUAAGCGCUGGCGAUUGGCCGAAGAAGUGUGAAGAACGAGUGUUUAGGGAAAGAUCGAGUGGUUGUUUGGACGAGGAUAUCGGUUCUGGGAGGCGCGACUGGAUUCUCAGAACGUUCUUAACGAUUUCUGAUCGAAUGGAACACGUGGAACAAGAGCAUUGACAUACGUGGGAAUAAAUUCCUGUUUCAGAGGCCGGGAAUCGCGGCCGGGCACGGCAGUGGGGAGGUUUGAGGGAAACGACGGUGGAAAGAAACGAGGAGGAUGAGGCUCCGAGACGCAACCUGUCCCAUGCAUCUUGUGGGCAGGGGCGCUUCCGUCAGCAUCUACGGAUUCAUUAGAGAACAAUAGGAUGAUGAGUGCAGUCCGUGAGUUGUAACAGACCUCGAGGUUGCAUGCGGGGAUAAAGAAAGAGGAGAAUGAAAGAAGAGGAAGACUGAGAAAGGCGCGUAUGGUUCGAUCGUCUGGUACGAGCGGACGAGUUCUCUUCGAGACGACAUUGAAGGAUUCGAGACACGAGGUCGACGUUUACUCGCGCGGCUCUCGGUUACGAUGUUCCCUUCAACGGGACGUCCUUCGACGCCGAAAAUUCCGUUCCACUUGUCUCCGAUAGCAGUCGCAUUUAUAUUUGCUGCGGUUCAGACCGUACGAUCGUGCCACGCGGUAUGCACCAGCCGGCCGAGCUGCAACAACUUUCGCCCUUGGGCGACUCGCGUUGCUCUUAUUUAAACAACAUACCUAACUCGCUCGCCUCUCUUACUCGCGACUCCCCCGCCUCCCACCACGCCGACCAGGAGUACCUGGCAUCCUUCUUCAGGAGCGUACCAAUCCUUCUGGCAAUACCUCUGAUGAUGAACACCUUUCCCCUUACCUCUUUAACAAUAACUCAAAAAUUAUAUAAAUAUAUUGUGAAUUUUUCUUUAUAUGAAAGGAUGUACUUAAUCUAUAUUUUAAUUAUUUAAGAAUUA